GGUAACACUGUGAUAAGGAGCAGUAAGUUAUGUUGAGUUUUUCAGAGAGCUGUCGGCUGGUGUAAGGCAGUAUUCUUGCUUAACCGAACUCGCCUUUGAGUGGUUCAGCUGAACUUUAAGUAGGUUGAAACGGAAAGUCCACCGAUAUAGGGACAGGGUAUCAGCUUUUUUAGCUUGUACCUGAAUGAGAGCCUUGCUUGCAAGGAAUUAGAGUGGUACCACGAGGUUUAUGCCUUCGUCUCUUAG
rnacentral:ncRNA from 1 species